rnacentral:tRNA from 4 species
CAGAGUGUAGCUAAAAUAGCAAAGCACCUCCCUUACACCGAGAAGACAUCCGUGCAAAUCGGGUCACCCUGA